rnacentral:rRNA from 1 species
UACGAAGGGGGCUAGCGUUGCUCGGAAUCACUGGGCGUAAAGCGCACGUAGGCGGAUUGCUAAGUCAGGGGUGAAAUCCUGGAGCUCAACUCCAGAACUGCCUUUGAUACUGGCGAUCUCGAGUCCGGGAGAGGUGAGUGGAACUGCGAGUGUAGAGGUGAAAUUCGUAGAUAUUCGCAAGAACACCAGUGGCGAAGGCGGCUCACUGGCCCGGUACUGACGCUGAGGUGCGAAAGCGUGGGGAGCAAACCGG